CUGCCCAAAAGAGGGGGAUAACACUUGGAAACAGGUGCUAAUACCGCAUAACAUAGUUACCGCAUGGUAACUAUGUAAAAGGUGGCUAUGCUACCGCUUUUGGAUGGGCCCGCGGCGCAUUAGCUAGUUGGUGGGGUAAAGGCUUACCAAGGCAAUGAUGCGUAGCCGAACUGAGAGGUUGAUCGGCCACAUUGGGACUGAGACACGGCCCAAACUCCUACGGGAGGCAGCAGUAGGGAAUCUUCCACAAUGGGCGAAAGCCUGAUGGAGCAACGCCGCGUGGGUGAAGAAGGUCUUCGGAUCGUAAAACCCUGUUGUUAGAGAAGAAAGUGCGUGAGAGUAACUGUUCACGUUUCGACGGUAUCUAACCAGAAAGCCACGGCUAACUACGUGCCAGCAGCCGCGGUAAUACGUAGGUGGCAAGCGUUAUCCGGAUUUAUUGGGCGUAAAGGGAACGCAGGCGGUCUUUUAAGUCUGAUGUGAAAGCCUUCGGCUUAACCGGAGUAGUGCAUUGGAAACUGGGAGACUUGAGUGCAGAAGAGGAGAGUGGAACUCCAUGUGUAGCGGUGAAAUGCGUAGAUAUAUGGAAGAACACCAGUGGCGAAAGCGGCUCUCUGGUCUGUAACUGACGCUGAGGUUCGAAAGCGUGGGUAGCAAACAGGAUUAGAUACCCUGGUAGUCCACGCCGUAAACGACCA
rnacentral:rRNA from 1 species